rnacentral:pre_miRNA from 11 species
GCGGUGGUUUCCCUUGUGUUUUGCUGUUGUCGGGUGGAUCACGAUGCAAUUUUGAUUAGAUUAGCAGGACGAAAAUUGCACGGUAUCCAUCUGUAAACCGCAGGACCUUCGUGGCUGACAAAGCU